rnacentral:rRNA from 1 species
AGAACGAACGCUGGCGGCAUGCCUAAUACAUGCAAGUCGAACGAAUGCCCUUCGGGGCGUUAGUGGCGCACGGGUGCGUAACGCGUGGGAAUCUGCCCUUGGGUUCGGAAUAACAGCGAGAAAUUGCUGCUAAUACCGGAUGAUGACGUAAGUCCAAAGAUUUAUCGCCAAGGGAUGAGCCCGCGUAGGAUUAGCCAGUUGGUGAGGUAAAGGCUCACCAAGGCAACGAUCCUUAGCUGGUCUGAGAGGAUGAUCAGCCACACUGGGACUGAGACACGGCCCAGACUCCUACGGGAGGCAGCAGUAGGGAAUAUGGACAAUGGGCGCAAGCCUGAUCCAGCAAUGCCGCGUGAGUGAUGAAGGCCUUAGGGUUGUAAAGCUUCUUUACCGAGAUGAUGAUGACAGUAUCGGGAGAUAAGCCCGGCUAACUCCGUGCCAGCAGCCGAC